UACGUAGGUGGCAAGCGUUGUCCGGAUUUACUGGGCGUAAAGAGCGCGCAGGCGGUCGUUCAAGUCGCGUGUGAAAGCCCCCGGCUCAACUGGGGAGGGUCACGCGAUACUGAUCGACUGGAAGGCAGGAGAGGGUAGUGGAAUUCCCGGUGUAGUGGUGAAAUGCGUAGAUAUCGGGAGGAACACCAGUGGCGAAGGCGACUACCUGGCCUGUUCUUGACGCUGAGGCGCGAAAGCUAAGGGGAGCAACGGGG
rnacentral:rRNA from 1 species